UNCAAGAGUGAUUUUGUGCUGCCUGCCCAGU
rnacentral:piRNA from 1 species